rnacentral:rRNA from 1 species
UGGUAGUNCACGCCGUAAACGAUGAGUGCUAGGUGUUAGGCCCUUUCCGGGGCUUAGUGCCGGAGCUAACGCAAUAAGCACUCCGCCUGGGGAGUACGACCGCAAGGUUGAAACUCAAAGGAAUUGACGGGGGCCCGCACAAGCGGUGGAGCAUGUGGUUUAAUUCGAAGCAACGCGAAGAACCUUACCAGGUCUUGACAUCCCGAUGCUAUUCUUAGAGAUAGGAAGUUACUUCGGUACAUCGGAGACAGGUGGUGCAUGGUUGUCGUCAGCUCGUGUCGUGAGAUGUUGGGUUAAGUCCCGCAACGAGCGCAACCCUUAUUGUUAGUUGCCAUCAUUAAGUUGGGCACUCUAGCGAGACUGCCGGUAAUAAACCGGAGGAAGGUGGGGAUGACGUCAAAUCAUCAUGCCCCUUAUGACCUGGGCUACACACGUGCUACAAUGGUCGGUACAACGAGUUGCGAGCCGGUGACGGCAAGCUAAUCUCUGAAAGCCGAUCUCAGUUCGGAUUGGAGGCUGCAACUCGCCUC